AGAGUUUGAUCCUGGCUCAGGAUGAACGCUGGCGGCGUGCCUAACACAUGCAAGUCGAACGAAGCUUGACGGAUGAUUUCUUCGGAAUGAAACCAGAUAUGACUUAGUGGCGGACGGGUGAGUAACACGUGAGCAACCUGCCUUUCAGAGGGGGAUAACGGCUGGAAACGGUCGCUAAUACCGCAUGACGUGUUCGGAUGGCAUCAUCUGAACAUCAAAGAUUUAUCGCUGAAAGAUGGGCUCGCGUCUGAUUAGAUAGUUGGUGGGGUAACGGCCUACCAAGUCGACGAUCAGUAGCCGGACUGAGAGGUUGAACGGCCACAUUGGGACUGAGAUACGGCCCAGACUCCUACGGGAGGCAGCAGUGGGGAAUAUUGCACAAUGGGGGAAACCCUGAUGCAGCAACGCCGCGUGAAGGAUGACGGUUUUCGGAUUGUAAACUUCUUUUCUUAGUGACGAAGACAGUGACGGUAGCUAAGGAAUAAGCAUCGGCUAACUACGUGCCAGCAGCCGCGGUAAUACGUAGGAUGCAAGCGUUAUCCGGAUUUACUGGGUGUAAAGGGAGCGCAGGCGGGACUGCAAGUUGGAUGUGAAAUACCGUGGCUUAACCACGGAACUGCAUCCAAAACUGUAGUUCUUGAGUGAAGUAGAGGCAAGCGGAAUUCCGAGUGUAGCGGUGAAAUGCGUAGAUAUUCGGAGGAACACCAGUGGCGAAGGCGGCUUGCUGGGCUUUAACUGACGCUGAGGCUCGAAAGUGUGGGGAGCAAACAGGAUUAGAUACCCUGGUAGUCCACACCGUAAACGAUGAUUACUAGGUGUUGGAGGAUUGACCCCUUCAGUGCCGCAGUUAACACAAUAAGUAAUCCACCUGGGGAGUACGACCGCAAGGUUGAAACUCAAAGGAAUUGACGGGGGCCCGCACAAGCAGUGGAGUAU
rnacentral:rRNA from 1 species